CAACUUUCAACAACGGAUCUCUUGGCUCUCGCAUCGAUGAAGAACGCAGCGAAAUGCGAUAAGUAAUGUGAAUUGCAGAUUUUCAGUGAAUCAUCGAAUCUUUGAACGCACCUUGCGCUCCUUGGUAUUCCGAGGAGCAUGCCUGUUUGAGUGUCAUUAA
rnacentral:rRNA from 4 species